rnacentral:rRNA from 1 species
GGGGGACUCUAGCGAGACUGCCAGUGAUAAACUGGAGGAAGUGGGGAUGACGUCAAAUCAUCAUGCCCCUUAUGACCUGGGCUACAAACGUGAUACAAUGGCUGAAACAAAGGGCAGCGAAGCAGUGAUGUGGAGCGAAACCCAAAAAAGCAGUCUCAGUUCGGAUUGAAGUCUGCAACUCGACUUCAUGAAGUUGGAAUCGCUAGUAAUCGUAGAUCAGAACGCUACGGUGAAUACGUUCUCGGGGUUU